CGGCAGUCCUCGGCGUGGGGCUGGGACGGGGCGAACAGUGGCCCCAUAGCCCACGUCCACCGGAGCCACAGGAUGGGAGCUUAUUUGCAAACAAGGUCUUUGCAGAUAUAAACUUAUUUUUUUAUUUUAUUUUUUUUGAGAUGGAGUCUUGCUCUGUCGCCUAGGCUGGAGUGCAAUGGUGCGAUCUUGGCUCGCUGCAGCCUCCAUCUCUCAGGUUCAAGUGAUUCUCGUGCCUCAGCCUCCGGAGUAGCUGGGACUACAGGCACCUGCCACCACGCCCGGCUAUUUUUUUGUAUUUUUAGUAGAGAUGGGGUUUCACUGUGUUAUCCAGGAUGGUCUCGAUCUCCUGACCUCGUGAUCCGCCCGCCUCAGCCUCCCAAAGUGCUGGGAUUACAGGUGUGAGCCACUGCGCCCGGCCUUGGAUAAUUUUUUUCUAUUUUUAGUAAAGGCAAGGUUUCGCCAUGUUGGCCAGGCUGGUCUCGAACUCCUGACCUCAAGCAAUCCGCCCGCCUCAACCUCCCCAAGUGCUGGGAUGACAGGCGUGAGCCACCGCACAGGCCUAAUGAAGGUAAAGAUCUUGAGAUGAGAUCAUCCUUGAUCUGGGUGGGCCCUAAAUCCCUUAACAGAUGUCCUCACGAGGCACAGAGACACAGAGAGAAGACGGCCACAUGGAGUCAGAGGCAGAGGCUGGAGGGAUGUGGCCACGAGCCGAGGACCCCUGGAGUCCCCAGGAGCUGGUCGAGAGUCUCACUCUUGUCGCCCAGGCUGGAGGGCAAUGGCAUGAUCUUGGUUCACUGCAACCUCCGCCUCCCACGUUCAAGUGAUUCUCCUGCCUCAGCCUCCCAAGUAGCUGGAUUACAGGUGUCUGCUACCAUGCCCGGCUAAUUUUUGUAUUUUUGUAGAGACCGGGUUCCACCAUGUUGGGCAGGCUGGUCUUGAACUCCUGACCUCAGGUGAUCCACCCGCCUCGGCUUCCCAAAGUGCUGGGAUUACAGGCGUGAGCCAUCGCGCCUGGCCAUAAAAAAUAUUUUCAAAAAGUGAGCAAACAAUUUGAACAGACACCAAUAAUGCAGAUACACGGAUGACAAAAAAAGAUGAGAAAACGCUCAUCAUUACUCAUCAGGGAGACGCCGAUGAAGAGCACAGGGCAGACCCUGCACACCCCCCCAGGAUGACGGAACGCCUGUGGUCCUGCCCGGGCCAUCAGUGGAGAAGCCAUCCUUGGAAUCUGGAAUCCAUCUGGCGGGUGCUACUCAGCAGCUGACAGAAGCCACCGAUGCCUGCAACGCUGGGGUAAGUCUCAGAAUAAUGAUGCCAGGCCGGGCGCGGUGGCUCACGCCUGUAAUCCCAGCACUUUGGGAAGCCGAGGCGGGAGGAUCACGAGGUCAGGAGAUCAAGACCGUUGUGGCUAACACGGUGAAAUCCCG
rnacentral:lncRNA from 1 species